CAAUAGCGUAUAUUUAAGUUGUUGCAGUUAAAAAGCUCGUAGUUGGAUUUCGGUUAAGAGCGACCGGUCCGCCGUUUGGUGUGCACUGGUUGGUUUUAACUUCCUGUAGAGGACGUGCUCUGGGUUUAACGACCUGGACUCGGAGUCUACGUGGUUACUUUGAAAAAAUUAGAGUGUUCAAAGCGGGCUUACGCUUGAAUAUUUCAGCAUGGAAUAACACUAUAGGACUCCUGUCCUAUUUCGUUGGUCUCGGGACGGGAGUAAUGAUUAAGAGGAACAGUUGGGGGCAUUCGUAUUUCAUUGUCAGAGGUGAAAUUCUUGGAUUUAUGAAAGACGAACUUCUGCGUAAGCAUUUGCCAAGGAUGUUUUCAUUAA
rnacentral:rRNA from 1 species